rnacentral:rRNA from 1 species
UACGUAGGGGGCAAGCGUUGUCCGGAAUCAUUGGGCGUAAAGGGCUCGUAGGUGGCCAACUAAGUCAGACGUGAAAUCCCUCGGCUUAACCGGGGAACUGCGUCUGAUACUGGAUGGCUUGAGUUUGGGAGAGGGACGCGGAAUUCCAGGUGUAGCGGUGAAAUUCGUAGAUAUGGGGAGGAACACCGGUGGCGAAGGCGGCCAUCUGGACGGUAACUGACGCUGAGACGCGAAAGCGUGGGGAGCAAACAGG